AUGUCAUCCUCUCAUUCGCAAUCCGAGUCUGAUUGUUUAAGGCGAAAGGAUUGUUCACCCACUAAUAGGGAAUGUGAGCUGGGAUUAGACCGUCGUGAGACAGGUU